AGCUUUGCGCAGUGGCAGUAUCGUAGCCUAUGAGGUUUAUCCGAGGCGCGAUUAUUGCUAAUUGAAAACUUUACCCAAUACUUCGCCGUGACGACUUGAAAUAUAGUCGGCUCUGGCAAUUUUUGACGGUCUUUACGGAGA
rnacentral:snRNA from 1 species